UACAGAGGUCUCAAGCGUUGUUCGGAUUCAUUGGGCGUAAAGGGUACGUAGGCGGCGCGGUAAGUCGGGUGUGAAAUCUCGGGGCUUAACUCCGAAACUGCAUUCGAUACUGCCGUGCUUGAGGACUGGAGAGGAGACUGGAAUUUACGGUGUAGCGGUGAAAUGCGUAGAUAUCGUAAGGAAGACCAGUGGCGAAGGCGGGUCUCUGGACAGUUCCUGACGCUGAGGCACGAAGGCCAGGGGAGCAAACGGG
rnacentral:rRNA from 1 species